rnacentral:rRNA from 1 species
AACGAACGCUGGCGGCAUGCCUAACACAUGCAAGUCGAACGAGACCUUCGGGUCUAGUGGCGCACGGGUGCGUAACGCGUGGGAAUCUACCCUUGGGUUCGGAAUAACAGUUAGAAAUGACUGCUAAUACCGGAUGAUGACGUAAGUCCAAAGAUUUAUCGCCCAAGGAUGAGCCCGCGUAAGAUUAGCUUGUUGGUGGGGUAAUGGCCCACCAAGGCGACGACCUUUAGCUGGUCUGAGAGGAUGAUCAGCCACACUGGGACUGAGACACGGCCCAGACUCCUACGGGAGGCAGCAGUGGGGAAUAUUGGACAAUGGGCGAAAGCCUGAUCCAGCAAUGCCGCGUGAGUGAUGAAGGCCUUAGGGUUGUAAAGCUCUUUUACCAGGGAUGAUAAUGACAGUACCUGGAGAAUAAGCUCCGGCUAACUCCGUGCCAGCCGCCGCGGUAA